AUUUUUACCUGGCAGGGGAGAUACCAUGAUGAGGAAGGUGGUUUUCCCAGGGUGAGACUCAUCCAUUGCACUCUGGAUGUGCUGACCUCUGCGAUUUCCCCAAAUUGUAGAAACUUGAUUAUAUAAUUUGUGGUAGUGGAAACUAUGUGUGUGUGCUCUCUC
rnacentral:snRNA from 1 species